rnacentral:misc_RNA from 1 species
CGCGACACCAACGCCUCUUCCCCCUCCUCCUGAAUAAAAAAGGCGGAGGGCACGCCACCACAACAGCAACAAGGCCGAUACACACCACGGAGUGUCGCACUGUCUACUUGGACAAACAGGGGAGGUUAUUGUGCAAGGGCUCACUUAUCCACAUACAUGCAGACGCAAACUCGGACGCAGAUCCGAACGCAUAUUCACGGCACAACAUGAGUGCAUCAGCUCCUCGUAUAGGCCUCCUCGGGGCCGCUAACAUUGCCUGGCGCGCCUGGGCCGGCGCUCGCGCGAACGGCAUGUCGGUCACCCGCGUCGGAUGCCGCGAUGUCGAUAGAGGGCGCAACUUUGUGGAGCGGGCGUGCGAUGCGCUCAAGAUCGACGAGGCGGCCGUUCCGGCGGUUUGCAGCUACGAGGAGCUUGUGUCUGCUGCGGAUGUGGAUGUCGUUUACAUUGCCAUUCCCGUGAAAGCCCGUGACCACUGGGUGAGGGAGUGCAUUAAGCACAAGAAGCACGUGGUUGGGGAGAAGCCGCCGGCCACCGAUGCUGAGAUGCUGCGCUCGUGGAUCGAGGCGCUUGACCAGCAGAAUCUGCUUUACAUGGAUGGCACAAUGCUCUCGCACGGCAAGCGGGUGAAGGAGGUGUGCGCAGCAGUGAAGCAGAUGGGCGGGCCGGUGAAGCACAUCUUCGCCAACGUUACGCUGGGUGGUGACGAGGCCUUCCUGACAAACAACAUUCGCACUAAUCCAGAGCUGGAGCCGCACGGCGUCCUCGGCGAUCUCGGUUGGUACUGCAUCCGCUACGCGCUGCACCUCAUGGACUUCCAGAUGCCGACCGAGGUGACGGGCCGCAUUCUCAAGCAGAACGACAAGGGGGCCAUCAUCUCCUUCAUAGGCGACAUGACAUUCCAGGUCGGGGGCGAGGUGGCUUUUGUGUCUUUUUUCGUUUCCUUCGAAGCGGCCUUUGAGCAGACUCUGCACAUCACCACGACAGAGGGCACGCUGCAGCUAGACGACAUGUGUCUGCCCAUGACAAGCCGCCCCGAGACGGAGUACUACGAGGUGCACAACAGUAGCUACGACAACGUGUGCGAGUCGCACAACCUCCACACCGAGGUGAAGCACACGGUUAAGGGCGACGCACCGAAUUCGCAGUGCACGGAGCUGUGGGGUGACGUAGCUAGAAUCCUCUACGCAGACGGCGAGGGCGUCGCGCGGCGGCUCAAGGCGAAGGAGGAGAGCUCGCGUUACUGGGCGACGGUGUCGUGGAAGACGCAGGCUGUGAUGGACAAGAUGCUUGAGUCUGCCCUUAUCGGUCGCAACGCUGCACCUGCUGCGUAGAGAGAGAAGGGGUAAUGUCUACGCAGUGGUGUCGACGCGCGUCUGCAUGAAUGCGCGUGGCGUCCAGGGUUGGCAGCACAGUAGUGUGCAAACGACAAGAUGAAGCGUGUCUUUCAGCAGAGAUGGCUGCAUCAGAGGCUUUUGGAGAUUUUCGCGCUUCUUCCUCGUCCGCCGACACGCCCUUUCCUCCUCUCCGUCUCUGUUUUCCCCUCACCGGUUGCGCACUCGAACGGGCGUUUUCGUGGGUGCCAUUCGAGCCCCCCCCCCCCGCUUCCGCCCUCUUUUUCCUUCUUACGGUUCUCAUGGGCGGCACGGUUCUCUCUGCGUUGAGCCUUCUUCUUUGUUCUCUAUGCCAUAUCCCUGGCGUGGUGCUCCUCUACCCUCCUUCUCCCUCCCUGAGUGGACGUUCGCGCCAAUGUCGGGGAGAGGGAGAGGGAAAAGGGGAGGGUGAGGAGGGCACCGGCAUACGCUCCGCUUGUUUUUCAUCGACAUAUACACAUGCACCGUCACCUGCGCACCUCCACACCGCAGCCACAUGCACAAAAAGAGAAGGGCCCCUCACUCACACCCAAAGCAAAGGAGGAAGGUACAUACGAACAACCAACUGCAUCACCACAAUACAACAAUGGAGGAUGAGAGGGCACAGUGCGGAGGUGAAGGCAUGCAAGUGCCCAUGUGCUCUUGUGCGCGACUCGCAUGCCCAGCGUCAUCGGGCUGGGCGUAUUUGGCUGCAGACCAGCACUUGCGUCUGUGCGUGUGUGCUCAGUGAUCAUGGCAAGCGCAGCGCUUGGUGCCCGCUUCACAUGGCGC